rnacentral:rRNA from 1 species
AGUGAACGCUGGCGGUAGGCCUAACACAUGCAAGUCGAACGGCAGCACAGUAAGAGCUUGCUCUUACGGGUGGCGAGUGGCGGACGGGUGAGGAAUACAUCGGAAUCUACUUUUUCGUGGGGGAUAACGUAGGGAAACUUACGCUAAUACCGCAUACGACCUACGGGUGAAAGCAGGGGAUCUUCGGACCUUGCGCGAUUGAAUGAGCCGAUGUCGGAUUAGCUAGUUGGCGGGGUAAAGGCCCACCAAGGCGACGAUCCGUAGCUGGUCUGAGAGGAUGAUCAGCCACACUGGAACGGAGACACGGUCCAGACUCCUACGGGAGGCAGCAGUGGGGAAUAUUGGGCAAUGGGCGGAAGCCUGAUCCAGCCAUACCGCGUGGGUGAAGAAGGCCUUCGGGUUGUAAAGCCCUUUUGUUGGGAAAGAAAAGCAGCAGGUUAAUACCCCGCUGUUCUGACGGUACCCAAAGAAUAAGCACCGGCUAACUUCGUG